AGAAUCAACGCUGGCGGCGUGCCUAACACAUGCAAGUCGCACGAGAAAGUGGAGCAAUCCAUGAGUAAAGUGGCGCACGGGUGAGUAACACGUGAAUUAUCUACCUUCGAGUGGGGAAUAACUGAGAGAAAUCUUAGCUAAUACCGCAUAACACUUACGAGUCAAAGCAGCAAUGCGCUUGGAGAGGAGUUCGCGGCCGAUUAGUUAGUUGGCGGGGUAAUGGCCCACCAAGACGAUGAUCGGUAU
rnacentral:rRNA from 1 species